GGUUGGUGCAAAAGUAAUUGUGGUUUUUGCCAUUGAAAGUAAUGGCAAAAAUCGCAAUUACUUUUGCACCAACCUAAUA
rnacentral:miRNA from 10 species